UCCGGCUUAACGCCGGCAGUCUCCCUAGAGUGCCCAACUGAAUGGUGGCAACUAAGGACGAGGGUUGCGCUCGUUGCGGGACUUGACCCAACACCUCACGGCACGAGCUGACGACAGCCAUGCAGCACCUGAACCGGCAGUCCCCGAAGGGAAAGUCCUAUUUCUAGGACGGUCCACCGUUGUCUAGCCCAGGUAAGGUUCUUCACGUUGCAUCGAAUUAAACCACAUGCUCCACCGCUUGUGCAGGCCCCCGUCAAUUCCUUUGAGUUUCGGUCUUGCGACCGUACUCCCCAGGCGGCCAACUUCACGCGUUAGCUACGGCACUAAGGAAGUCUCCUUCCCCAACACCUAGUUGGCAUCGUUUAGGGCGUGGACUAC
rnacentral:misc_RNA from 1 species